CGCGGCCCCGCAGCGCUCGGGGUCCCGCGGCCGGAGCCCUCAGCCCGCCCGGCCGCAGCUCCGCCGCUCCCCCGGCUCCGCUGCCCGCUGCCCGCCGCCCUGCCCCGCCGCGAGUUUCACCAGGGGAGAGGCCAGCACUGUGGUUUAGAGAGGUCCUACCAGGGGAGACAGCUCAGUGAAAUCAGGCUUCAUGCUUAAGGUUCUCAGGCAUGGAGGCAGAGGAUUUUCUACUUGUCUUAGCAAAGUGAAAGCUGGUUUUUCCCAGAUAAAGCAAUUACUAGAGAAUAAACAUCAAUGCACAACACCACCUGGAGUUAUCCAAAUUCUCUUCUCUUAAUUCAGAGAAUUUGAUAAAUGUUGACACA